GGAUUUUAAAAAGAUCUCCACAUGACUCUAAUGUGCUGCCAAGGUCGAGAACCACCGACAUAGCCUGUAUGGUUUAUUCCUUCAGUCUUCAGAUCCAGGCUGGGUAUACAAUUUCCACCUUGGACCUCUGGUACUUGGACCUAUGAACAACACCACCAACCUUCCUGGGUCUCAGGCUUGUGGAUGGCAGACUAUGGGACUUCUCAGACUCCAUAACUGUCAGGAACCAGGCAGGAGAGAAGAUAUCAUUCCAUGGCUGCCAGGGAAGUACUAUGCCAGCAAUCAAUUUGUCUACUAUAAAAGGCUUAGGUGGGGUUGAUGAAACAGAAAUGGGACUGAAUUUCUCAAGAGAAGCAAGGUGACCAGGCCAAGACACUCUAAAGCCACAUGCUUAUGAUGUGGCCAUGUUGACUGCAAUAUAGAGGGAAAGUGAUGUAACGACUCCUGAGCCACAUGGAAAGGAAAGACAAUCAGUUUGUCUUUGGAAAUGAAGAAGCAACCAGCUUCAGGACAGUUCCUUGCUUAUCAGUUGCAGCAAAGUGUUACUAAACCAAGCAUCCUGCUUUGAGCGAUGUCCAGGGUAAGUCUUCCUCUUCCUUCUCAACACUGCCCCCUGCCCACCAUCAUAACCUUCCUUUUAGGUAGGAGACUCAGGAAUCCGUGUUGCGGUAGCAAAGAAGAAAUGAUAUUUUCCUGCACAGAGCAGAUAAGCUCCAUCCUGUGCCCCCACGACAUCUGGGUCUGGGGCAGGGGGCAUGAGUGAGGCAGUGCUGAUGGGAACAAUGGAAGAGCCUGGGUGUCCUCUGCCGAAAUCCUAACUUGCUUUUGCCAGCCCAGUCACCAAAGUCAUCUCCACUUGCUCAUCUUGCAGGGACUUUGGAGGGCCAGGAGGCCACUGUUGUCAUUGCUUUUUGAAGACGGUGGACCCCUCAGCAGCCUGGACUCAGCCCUGCUCCCCAGCACAGUAUGUAGACAAGGAGCAGGUGCCAACAGUGUUCCAACCAGGCUGGACCGGAGCUGUGUGCAGGUGGUUUCAGGAUUAAAAGUCCUAGUAGUAUAAAAAGAAAUCAGAGUAACAGUGAGCACACCUCUAUUGCCUUCCUACUGGCCACCAUUGCCUUCUUUUUGGUCACCCUAUUUUUGCUUGCAGAGUUUACCUUCCAUGUGCUUGGGCUCCCUUCUCCCUUUGUUGACGAGCAGAGCUCUUUCCUUAAUUAAGUCAACAAGUACUCAUACGCAGAGGCAGCAUCUCUUUUGGCAAGAGGACCUGUGCAGAACCAACCCCAGAAGCAAAUGAGAAUGUUUGUCAAGCUCUGAUUAAGUAGCUGUGAUUCAAGAGUGAAUAAUUACCUGCCCCAGCAAAGAGUUCCUAAAACGUUCUUACUCCUAGGCCGUGACCACGAGACUUACUAGACCAGAAGGUCUGGUGAUGGGUUGGUUCACUUUGAGGCGCUGAGGCAAUCUGAGAUACUCAGGGCAUAAAGCUUUCAUUUGCAAAAAGGAAUCCAAGAACAAGUGGACACCAGCUAACCCACAGCCAUGGCUGCCAACUGGUUAUUCAUUUUCAAAGACUGCCUAUGUCUCUGGGCACCUGGGGAUCAGCAUUAUGAGCUGUUCCCCUACGGGGACAUGCAUGAAAUCCACGUGUUUGACGUGCUCUCUGGGCUCUGUGUAAUACCUGGUGAAAUAUCUCUUAUUCCUUCUCUCUGUCUCUUCAACUCAAAUAAAAAAAAAAUGUUGGA